rnacentral:lncRNA from 1 species
AUAAAUAAAAUAUUUAUGUUUCCCCAAAUUAAUUUCUAAGGAAAAAUCGAAUGCAUGCCGCAAGCGAUAAAACUUUUAUCCUAUAAAUAUCGAGCCUCUCAGACUCUAUAAUAUAUGUAUGUAUUUACACUCGUCCAUACUCCCUAUAUAAAUUCAUGGGUCUAUAUAGGGCUACUACGCUUGCGUCCAACGCUCACGUCACGCCUUAAUGCGGUGCUACACUACGCCAUCAAGGUGGACAGACGGGUGUAUAAAUAUGUGUCCAUACCCCCUAUAUGAAUUAAACACUCAAAUAGGGCUACUACGCUUACGUCCAACGCUCACGUCACACCAUAAUGCGGCUAUAUGCUACGCCAUUAAGGUGGACAGGCACAUAUGGCUAGCUAGCAUUUUCUAUACAUACUCUCUCAUAAAUAUAUAUUUAUAUCCACCGAAAAUCCCAUUUUCGGUAUCUUUCCAAGAGAAGUAAAAAUCGUCAAAAAUUAAGAUGACGUCAAAAUACUCCACGACAUUAAUUAUUCAAUCGUGAACUUUAGCAUGCAUUUAUUUAAAAUAAACAUCCACUCACAAAUUAGGCCUAAGCCUGAUGUCGAUCUGGGGUCUCGUCUGCUCGAGCCUCCUCACGUCCUGUUCCAAAUAAAAUAUUAAUUUCCCAACCAAUAAUCCAAUAUUUAAUCAAAAUAGGCAAAAUUACCCGAGAGCCAUAAUUACGCUCAUUAUUGCCUAACUUUGAUAUUCUUACAUCGGACAAUCCGAACUUAAAUAUCAUACUCCACAGUCGUAAAUAUAACCUCCUCAAAAUACGACUUAAAUCCUACGGCCGGAUUCUACAUUAAUUAACCGCCAAAAAUACCAAACUUCAGAAAAUCACAAACCUAUCCAAAUCUCAUCCAAAAAUUCCAUAAAUCACACCAAUAUACUCCUCUUAAUAUUCCACAUUUAAAACCCUAAAAAUACUCCUAACCGGCGGCGGCGCCGCCGGCAGCGGCGGCCGGCAGCCGUUUUCCGGCGACCUGCAAAUGCUACCAAAUUUUAACAGAAUCUUCCUCUCAAUCUCCUCUACAACUUUCAUGACUAACACAUCACCCAAUUCCAAGCCUAACUAGGCUAAUCGAACGAAAACAACUUAAACACCAUAAAACUUCCACCUCAAAUUUCUCUUACCUAGCUCAAGAGGGAGGGAGCUGUUUG